rnacentral:lncRNA from 1 species
UCAGGUGUGGUAUGUGAUCACAGGCAACUCAGGAACAGCUCUCCAGCCCCAGGACUUCUGCUGGAACCGCUGGGAGUUGGAAGCUUUCUUCCCACUGAGGGGCAAACCUUCUAGGUAUCUGAAGAUGUUGAAGACCAUUUCCUGGAACAGCAGAGAGAGACUGUGGAAUGGAAUGACUCUCCAGAGCUGCAGAUUGAAGGUGUAUUUUCAUCUGACUUUGGUGAUUAUGUUUCUAAUCUCUCUUGGAAUAAGAUCUCAAUGGCGGGAACACCUUCAUGGCCCCUUUAUAGCUGGUAUGUUUUCUUCUCAUGGACAAUGAGAAACAUGUAAUAAACUGUGUUUCCUUCUCGCUAGGAAACCCUGAGUUAAAGCUUUACUUCCC